AGGACGAACGCUGGCGGCGUGCCUAACACAUGCAAGUCGAACGAGGUUCAGUCAGUAGCAAUACUGACGAAGACCUAGUGGCGAACGGGUGAGUAGCACGUGAGCAACCUACCCCGAAGACCGGGACAACACCGGGAAACCGGUGCUAAUACCGGAUAUCCCCAUCGAGUCGCAUGGCUUGAUGAGGAAAUGGAUUCCGCUUCGGGAGGGGCUCGCGGCCUAUCAGCUUGUUGGUGAGGUAACGGCUCACCAAGGCUUCGACGGGUAGCUGGUCUGAGAGGACGAUCAGCCACACUGGGACUGAGACACGGCCCAGACUCCUACGGGAGGCAGCAGUGGGGAAUCUUGCACAAUGGGCGAAAGCCUGAUGCAGCAACGCCGCGUGAGGGACGAAGGCUUUCUGAGUUGUAAACCUCUUUCAGCAGGGACGAUGAUGACGGUACUGCAGAAGAGCCCGGCAACUACGCGCCAGCAGCCG
rnacentral:rRNA from 1 species